rnacentral:lncRNA from 1 species
UAUAACUACUGCCUGGUACUCUUGGAGGAAGUAUAGAUGGAGUCAAGCAGCCACAUGUCUAGGUUGCAGCCUCAGCUGAGGACCCAAACAACAUCUAGCAUUGACCACCUCUGAGAUGACUCUAGCACCAGUCAUCAUCCAACUGCAUCUAUGUGAGAAAUCCAAAGCAGGAACCUUGGGUGAAAUCUGUUCCUGACCCGCUGCCACUGAACCUGUCUGAGAUCCCAGAGUCCCGGUUGGAAACUGAAUAGAUCAGGAACUUUGGAGACUGGCCCGGCUUCUGCAGCUCACCCGUUUAAUAACUGGACAAAGGAAGACAACAGUUCCAUUGCAUCCAGAGCACUGUCUGCCUUGACUCAGAGAUGACAUUGUUUGUAUUGCGGACAGUAGAACCAUUGACAAAAUCAUUUGCAAGAUGACCAAGAAGAUACUUGUCACAUCCAAACUGAAGAACAAGACACUUUCUUAGAACCUUAGAAGAUGAACUGUGUGUUGGAAGCAAAAUCACUCUGAAUCUUUGGAGAAAGACAAUCGUAUUAAAAGAGGGAAGAGCUCUUUCUCCUCUCAGAAUCAGCAACAGCAUAUUGAGAACAAAGCACAUUGGACAUAUAAGUAACUCUAGAAGAGAAAGACAUUGAGAGUUAUUAAUUAACCAAUGUGCAUAUGCAUGAUAUCACCUCACUGAUUGCACUUCUAAGCUUAAGCAGCUGAUGAGUCUGGAUAGUUGAGUGACACAGGAUGUUCACACUGAUGCUGUCCUGUCCUCCAAGGCAAAGGGAAGGUUGAUCCUCAGCAAGGAAGGAGCAGACACAGACAUGACGCCAGUGAUACAUUCUGAGCUCAGGGCCUUCAGUGGCUCAUUUUUCCAAUAUCUUGUUUCUGCUUUUGGGUUGUUCAAGGGUAGGAAGUAAAAUUAUUUACCUCCAAGGAAGUUAAUCACGAUGGUUUUCAUAUUAUUGAGAUAAAGAGAGAAAUUAUUC